AGGACGAACGCUGGCGGCGUGCUUAACACAUGCAAGUCGAGCGGUAAGGCCUUUCGGGGUACACGAGCGGCGAACGGGUGAGUAACACGUGGGUGAUCUGCCCUGCACUUCGGGAUAAGCCUGGGAAACUGGGUCUAAUACCGGAUAUGACCACAGGUUGCAUGACUUGGGGUGGAAAGUAUUUAGUCGGUGCAGGAUGGGCCCGCGGUCCUAUCGAGUCUUGGUUGGGUGGGGUAAUCGGCCUACCGAAGGCGACGGACGGGUACGCCGACCUGGAGGAGGGUCGACCGGCCACGACGUGGACUGAGACACGGCCCAGACUCCGUACGGAGGC
rnacentral:rRNA from 1 species